rnacentral:rRNA from 1 species
AUUGAACGCUGGCGGCAGGCCUAACACAUGCAAGUCGAGCGGAUGAUGGGAGCUUGCUCCCUGAUUUAGCGGCGGACGGGUGAGUAAUGCCUAGGAAUCUGCCUGGUAGUGGGGGAUAACGUUCCGAAAGGAACGCUAAUACCGCGUACGUCCUACGGGAGAAAGCAGGGGACCUUCGGGCCUUGCGCUAUCAGAUGAGCCUAGGUCGGAUUAGCUAGUUGGUGAGGUAAUGGCUCACCAAGGCGACGAUCCGUAACUGGUCUGAGAGGAUGAUCAGUCAAACUGGAACGGAGACACGGUCCAGACUCCUACGGGAGGCAGCAGUGGGGAAUAUUGGACAAUGGGCGAAAGCCUGAUUCAGCCAUGCCGCGUGUGUGAAGAAGGUCUUCGGAUUGUAAAGCACUUUAAGUUGGGAGGAAGGGCAGUAAGUUAAUACCUCGCUGUUUUGACGUUACCGACAGAAUAAGCACCGGCUAACUUCGUGCCAGCCGCCGCCGUAACAC